GGCGGCAGGCUUAACACAUGCAAGUCGAGCGGGCGUAGCAAUACGUCAGCGGCAGACGGGUGAGUAACGCGUGGGAACAUACCUUUUGGUUCGGAACAACACAGGGAAACUUGUGCUAAUACCGGAUAAGCCCUUACGGGGAAAGAUUUAUCGCCGAAAGAUUGGCCCGCGUCUGAUUAGCUAGUUGGUGAGGUAACGGCUCACCAAGGCGACGAUCAGUAGCUGGUCUGAGAGGAUGAUCAGCCACAUUGGGACUGAGACACGGCCCAAACUCCUACGGGAGGCAGCAGUGGGGAAUAUUGGACAAUGGGCGCAAGCCUGAUCCAGCCAUGCCGCGUGAGUGAUGAAGGCCCUAGGGUUGUAAAGCUCUUUUGUGCGGGAAGAUAAUGACGGUACCGCAAGAAUAAGCCCCGGCUAACUUCGUGCCAGCAGCCGCGGUAAUACGAAGGGGGCUAGCGUUGCUCGGAAUCACUGGGCGU
rnacentral:rRNA from 1 species